AAGAAAUUACUUAAAAAUAUUUACUAGAAAUACAUUCCACAAAACCAAAUGUAUUCAAACAACAUUUAUGAUAAUAGUCUUUAUCGUUCACUACAAUAGAUCGAGUGUACUUUUGUCCUCUAGACAUCAAAACUCAAUCCACAACAUUUUCCUCCAUCUGUGCUGACUUCCAGUUUUGGAGUAAGUUUAAAAUAGUCAGCCUUGCAUCAACCACACUGCGUUGCUAUUGCUUUUGACAUUGCUUUGUACACAGCAGAUCCGAGAGAUGAAAUAUAUGUUGAAUCAUCAGUUGGUGGAGUGUUCUCAUUGAAAGUAUCACUGUGUAAACAUGAAACUUAUCAGAUUAUGAAUCAUAAACCAAGAAUUUAUAUGAAACUUCUAAUUCCUUGUUUUAGGCACUAAGAAUAAACCUUGAGUGGAAAAUAAAAAAAUUCUAAAUUUUAAGCCAUAAAAUAGAAGAUAAGAUCCCUAAGUAGGGCAUUAAUUGUCAAGAUCAAGAAGUUCUUGACUUAGUUUUCAAGACCCUAUUACAAGUUCCACCA
rnacentral:misc_RNA from 1 species